rnacentral:rRNA from 1 species
GACGAACGCUGGCGGCGUGCCUAAUACAUGCAAGUCGAACGAACCGCGACUAGGUGCUUGCACUUGGUCAAGGUGAGUGGCGAACGGGUGAGUAACACGUGGGUAACCUACCUCAUAGUGGGGGAUAACAGUCGGAAACGACUGCUAAUACCGCAUAGGACAUGAAAUCACAUGAUUCAGUGAGGAAAGGUGGCGCAAGCUAUCGCUAAGAGAUGGACCCGCGGUGCAUUAGCUAGUUGGUAGGGUAACGGCCUACCAAGGCGAUGAUGCAUAGCCGACCUGAGAGGGUGAUCGGCCACAUUGGGACUGAGACACGGCCCAAACUCCUACGGGAGGCAGCAGUAGGGAAUCUUCCGCAAUGGACGCAAGUCUGACGGAGCAACGCCGCGUGAGUGAAGAAGGUCUUCGGAUCGUAAAGCUCUGUUGUUAGAGAAGAACAGCGCAUAGAGUAACUGCUAUGCGUGUG